AUAUAAAAAAGUAAAAUUAAGAACAUAUUCUAUCACUUAAAGCACUUGGCAUCCAAGAGAGGCUCUCCCUCAAAUGGCUCGCAGUCUUCAAUCAUCUGAUUCACCCGUUCCUUCUGGGCUGCAUCUGACAGGUCAACCUUCUUCCACUCGUAGAGUUCCAUGUCAUAGCACUCGUCAAUCACAAAUUGAGGAAUCUCUUGCCCACGGAAAAGCCAUAGUCCUUUCACCUUGAAUGGAGGGUUAGCACCGAUCACCAACAUCUUCCCAAAUGCAUACUUGCGGGCCAAAUCCAUUCUCUGCAGGAAUCCUCCAACCUUGUUCAUUGUGACAAAUGAAACUGUAUUCUCCUCAUUGUACUUGUAGUCACAAAACCACAGUGAGUAUCCCUCGGGAUCAUACAUGUCCCAGAAUCCUGACACGAAUCAAGUAUCAGAUAUCACAAGCCCAAACAUUGCUUUUAAAAGGGAGUGCUACUGUGAAAACAACAGGGAUACCUUUAAUUGCAACCUCUCGGAAAUUGGUCUUUGUGUUAGAGUAAAGCCUCUUCCAGUCAUCCAGUACCAUCUUACUUGGAGGCAGCAAAUCAAGAGGAUUCUUUGGUUUGGGCUUUGGUGCCUCCUCCUCCUCAGCUGCCUCUGCCUUUGCUGCCUGUUUCUCAACCUCCUUUUUGGCUUCUUUCUUUGGUUCAGCCUUUGGUUUAGUUUCUUUUGGCUGGGCAGCAGGCUUCUUUGAAGGAACAGGUGGUAGAGAGACUGCCUGCUUCACUUCACCAAGAAUCUUCUUGAUUUUUGGCUGAUUAACCAAGGUCCAAAAGUACCUCUCAACAUGAGGGAACUCCGAGGUAAAACUCUUAGUCAUGAUCUGGGAGAAACCCAAGUAGAGGUUACAUGUCAUGAUAAUGUCAGCAAGGGUGACAAAAUGUCCAACAAGAAAUGUGUUGGAAGCAAGAUGAGUGUUCAAAGCGCCAAGGGCUCUCUUCAAUGCAGCAAUAGCAGCUUCCUCAGCCUACAUGCAAAAUACAUAUAAGAGAUUAAAAUGAAAUAGGUAGGCAAAAUCAUACCAUUGAAUUAAAAUGAACUACUACUGAAUUACAAAAAUAAAAUUUAACUCUUAAUAUAGAUUAAUAAAUACAUCAGAAUGGGGGAGAAAACAACCUAGUCUCUUAAAAAAAUAAUGAGGAGAAAACCCAUGCCUACUUGAUUAUCAAUGCAAUGGGCAUUCCCUUCAACCAAAAUUACUUAAUAGUGCUUGAGUUGAUUCCUUUCCAGAAACUAUGCAGGGGAAAACACUACCACAUUAAGCAUGUACUAAAUGUUGUCUAACUAAUCCUCUCUAAAAUAAAUAAAACAAGAAUCAUAGACAGGUAAUCAAUGCCAAUUUUCCCUUCACCAUUCCCUCCUUAAUAUUUUGUAUUUCAAUGACUAAGUUGCCUUAUUCCAAUUUUAACAUAGGACCUAUUGUCUUAUAAUUAGAAAGAAACAAAGACUAAGUAUGGCCCCAGCAAAUCAAGCCCAAUUAAAAUGACAAAAGAAUCUGCGAGGAAAGACAGUAGAACUUACUGGAGGAAGGUAAACACCGUAACCAAGUCUUGGAUACAACCAUUUUGCAAUAUUAGCAUCAAUUUCCAUGGCUGCAAAAUCAAUCCAUUGCUCGAUAUGACCCUAAGAAAGCCAAAGUAAUACAUACAAACAAUUACUUCCAUGGUUUAAAAUAAACUUAACUGAUGACAGAAGAAUACAAGACCAUUGUACUAUAAGAAUCUUACAUAAUCAAUCAAUGUAGAACCACAUAUAGGGUUGUUAACCUUUGAGCGAGCAACUGCAGAGAAAAGUAUACCAAUAAGUAAAAACAAACAUUAGAGGAAGAAAAUUUAGGAUAUGGAGUCAGCAGAUCUUCUCACCAUAACGAGCAAUGGCAUUGCUCUCAAAUACAGGACCCUCAGGUGUUUCCAACACAGGAACCUAGAAGAGUUAUAAAUAUCUUCAGUGAACAGACCUAGAAAAAAGGUUACAUAACAUGUAUAAAAAAAAUUCUCUAGUUUAAAUCUAUUAAUAGGCGUUACAAGGUCACCUUCCCCAAAGGGUUCAUCUUGAUGAACUCAGGAGUCUUAUUUGACACACCCAUCUCAAAAUUUUCAACCAUUUUGACCUGCACACCACUAUAUUCUGCAGCAAUGAGUGCCUUAAAGGCAUUUUUGUUUGUUUUUCCUGCAUGCAAGACCUGCAUGUAAAUCAACACACCACAUUGAUUAGAAGAACCGGUUGAUUAAGAAGUUGAAUUGAAUGUCAAACACCAGUCAAUCCCUACAACGAAUCCAGUAAAAUCCUGAAAUUGAUCCUUUUCGCCCCAUAAAUUCUCUUAAAGACCAUUCACUUUACAUUCUAAACUACUAACCGGUACUUAGCAUUUCCAUCUACCAUACACAAUUAACCUAAUUGACGUAACAUCUCGCCAUCCAUCUUUCUUCUGGUCAAUGGUUCCCAGUUGAAAUCGAAGGUGGUAGAGUUAAAAUCAAAAUCAAUUUUUUUAUCGUUAUGAUUAGUAUCUACAAAUCCAUAAACUAUUCCAUUGAUAGUAAUUAUAUAAAACAUAUUCAAUGUGCCACUUCUUUCGCAAUGUAAAAAAGCUAGUUACAAUUUUCACUUUCUAAUUCUACUCGAAAUAACUUCCACUUAAUCAUUAGGUGUCAAUUCUUUCAACAGUUAAACUACCAAAAGAAAUGAAACUAAUAUAUAUGCACAGAUAUAAAGCUUACCAGAGCCAUGGCUUGAUAGAAAAGAGCGCUACGAUUUGAGAACUGAGAUCUGGAAAAAAAAAAACAGAGAACAAAAUAAAAGGAAUAAGGAAAAAUAUUCAAGCAGGAGAACUUGAUUCCCAUGUAUUAAGGAGUAAAAAUGAGAGAAAGGAUUAAGAAAGAACCUUGAAGACGAAAUCGCAGCGAGAAGGAGCGGGAGAGACUGCGGGACAAAGAGAGAAUAAAAGAAAGGGGGACUAGGGUUUUUGUAGAGUAGAGCGAGUGUGAUGUGGGGUUAUCAGUUCGGGUUCCGGUUUAGAUCCAGAUUUACUAACCCCUUUCUUUUUCCGGUUUUUUUAAGCGUGUCUUUGAGGUAAUAAGUCAUUUCAAGAAUAAUUAAAUAAAAAUAAAUUAUAUAAAAAAUUCUCAUAACCAUUGAACCAUUGUUUUUCUCCAAUUUUCCUUUUCACAACAGUUUUGCUUUUUAUGUAAUUACACACAACUAAUUGAUCUGAAUCGAUUGGAUCACUAAUUUUUAAUUUAAUUGUUUAGAUCACUCUGAACAACACUACUUUUCUCAAAUUUUUUAUCUUGUGUCUAUUUUUUUUAUUACCAAUAUAAAUUAACUUGGAGUAUAAUGAUUUAUAUUUUUGCUCAUGCUUGAGGUUGUUUGUUUAGAUAAAAGUUAACUCAAGUGAGUUGUAUUUAAUUAAAAACUCUAUUGGUUUGAGUUCAAACAUUAUUAUAUGUGAAGUUUUAUUUUUUAAAAAGAUUAAACUACCCUCGAAUAAUCUAAUUUAUUUUAAAUAUGAAAAACAUUUUUGUAAUUUUUUGAGUUGAUGUCCGGUUAACUCGUAUCACUAACUCAACCAAGGGUUUAAAUAAUAGUAUAGAUUAUUGCAUUUUAAUUAAUUUUUAGAAGGAAUUAUUUCUAAAAAUAUGUUUUUUUGGUGCACCUCAAUAGUCAACACUAAUAACUCAUUUCCCUAAACUCUAGACCCCUAAUUUCAACAAAGUGUAUAAUUGUUGAAAUGUCCACUUGUUGGUCUAAGUGACAAACGCAAAGCACCAAGAUCAUUUUUUAUGCACUAAAUCAUCCACGGUGUUAUUAUAUUGGUUUACCUCAAAUCAAACAAUUUUUACUGAUCCCCAUUGUAACUACUACAAUAGAAAAUCUUACCCAUGCCCCUAAACCUAACAUUCAACUCGAUGAUUUUUGUUAAUCAUCGUGCUUAAACAAACCCAUAAAAAGUUUACAUGUAUAAUUGAAAAACCUUAACCUAUCUCCUUAAACCGUAAAUCCCCAUAGUUGUGGGUUGAGUAAGCUAGAAACCAUGGGGAUUUUUUGAACUUGGCAUCUCUUUCAAAUAACAUAAAAACCCUAACUUAUUUUCCUAAACCUUAACCCUAAAACUUUAAUCCCCAAACAAAACCUUAAACACUAAAUAGAAACAUUUAAUAAAUUCCCAUCAAAUUCUUUCCUCUAAGGGUUUUUAUGCAUCUCUAAUUUCAAUAAAAAGUAACCUCAACUCUCAAAUUCAGAUGCCUUUUGUGAUAAUGGAUUUCCUCAAGUGUUAGAGCGCCAAUUGAGUAUGAAAGCUUCUUUUAAACUAACUUUAAAUAGGCUUUAGGGUUUAUGAUAAACCUUGUUUAUGAUUAGUAUGAAAGAUUUCACUAUAUCAAAACAAUGUUUCAACACUUAUGGAAAACCAUGAUCUAAAUCAAGAGAGUUCAAGUUUUCCUUGAUUGAAGUUAGAUUUUGGUUGAAAUCAUUGAUCUAAAAGUGAUAGUAGCCAGAAUAGGUUGGAGGAAAUUAGUUUUAAAGGACUUUAUCAAAAUUUUAAUUUAGGGUUUAAGGUUUGAGGGGAAAAGGUAAAUAUUUAAGGGUUAAAAGAUUUUGGUUUGGGGUUAGAAGGAAAAGGUUAAGGUUCAACUCUUGUUCAUUAGGUAAAUUGACUACGAUCUUGACACCCAUGGGUUGUUCAGUUUUAGUAUUAAUAAAAUGCAAACAAAUACAUAACAAACAAUUCUUCAUCUUCCAAAAUCAAAGCUAACCACUAUUUAAAGAUAUUGAGUUUAGUACCCUAAAUGUAGUAUAUUUAUUUUGUAUAGUUGUAUUUUUCGAGAAAAUUGGUUUAAUAAAAAUAUUCAUUGAUUACAUUAAUAGCCUUUGUAUAUUAUCCUCAACGAUUUUGUAUGCAAAGAAAAAUGGAAACAAAGAUUGGCUCACUAGUUAUCUAACAUUUAACAAAUGCUAAAUGGUAUUACGUGGUCGGAUAGUAAUACAAAAAAACAACUUAUAUUAGUAGAUAAACCUAAAUAAGUCAUUAGUCUAAUUGGAAAUGAGCAAGCCGCUUUAAAGACUUAAGUCGUCUACCAAGUCCAAUUGGGGAGAUGCUUUGUCUUGAGCAUCAAAACGAAGGACUCCCAGAAGAUAGAGACAUAGAUGUCACUGACUGGACUGACAAUACAUUGGACAUGACCUAAGUAGGAUAGAUCCUAGAUUGUUUUAUGAAUUUAUUCACUUGAGACAUUCAUAGUGUGACAUACCUUAAUCCUGAGUGGAUGAUGGACUAUGCAUGUAUGACUCAUAUACUUUGAUGGAAGUAAAAGCCUAAAUUCAAAUAAAUAAGGAACCGAAAAAUCGGUAUAUUGCGUAUACGACUUCUACAACAUAUAGCAUCAUUCACAAUAGUGGAAUUCAUAGCUCAAAUAAUAAGUAAAUGAUAUCCUCUCAUUGGCAUUACAUGAUAGAUGAAAAGUAAACAUGGCCACGAGUCAUUUGUCUUUGUGAUAAAUGACUUGAUUACUAUUUAAUAGUACUAGGGACUGCAAACCCUAGUAUAUUUAACUAGGGUUGUCGCCCCGCCCUCCAAUCCUAGUUAGACUAGGAUUAUGUUUUUCUAUUGAAAUAGACUUCUAAUAAUUCAACAAGGGUUUCAAUUCUUCUCCCUAUAAAUAGAUGGAAACAGUAAGGCUAAAUACAAAACUUUGAGAUAUUGUUAUUCUGCCCGAAAAUAGUGAGAAUUUAUUUUCUAAGUAUAAAUUCUAUUUUCUAGAAUAACAAUUCUAUUGGUUUAUAUUAAAGAGAGAUUUUCUUUUCCACUAAAAGUAAAGUAAAUAAUUUAUGGUUCUGUGCUUUAUUUGAAUUUGUUCGAGCCCACAAUCGAAGUAGUUCGUGGUACAGGAAUAACAAAGAAGGCCAUUCGAUUGAAAGCCAAGAAUGACAAGGACCCGUUUAGUCGAAAGCAUAAGUGCAAUUUCUGUAAAGGUUUUAUUGAUAUAACUAUCACAAAUCGGUUUGAUUUUCAAAAUUUAAAUUUUUCACUGGGCAAAAAAACUGUUUUCAAAUCAAUUUUUUUCCAACUUUCAUAUUAACCAAGAAAUAAUAACUAGACUUAUGAAAGAUGAUACCUUAAGUUUGCUUAAGGAAAUUGAUAUUCCACAAUAUGAAUAUUGCUUGGAAGGUAAGAUGACUAAGUGAUCUUUUAAUGCAAAAGGAAUGAGGGUUGUGAAAUCUUAGAACUUGUGCACACUGAUAUAUGUGGCCCUAAGAACGUCAGUGUGCGAGGUGAUUAUGAUUACUACAUAACAUUUAUAGAUGACUAUUCCAGAUAUAGGUAUGUAUACCUAAAGCACCGUAAAAGUGAAACUUUUGAUAAAUUAAAAGAGUUUCGUGCAGAAGUGGAGAAAGAACUAGGUUUACCCAUAAAGACACUUCGGUUUAAUCAAGGUGGAGAAUACUUAUUGGAUGAGUUCUUUGGUUACCUCAUAGAGAAUGUAAUAUUAUCUUAAUUAACCGCGCCAGGAACCACACAACAAAAUGACAUGGCAGAGAAAAGGAAUCGAACCUUGUUGGACAUGGUUCAAUUGAUGUUAAGUUAUUCAUAGCUUCGAGUCUCCUUUUAGAGAUAUGUUUUACAAAUGACUUGCUACAUUUUGAAUGAUGUACCAACUAAGUUUGUACCUAAAACUCCAUACGAAAUAUGGAAUGGCAGGAAGCCAAGUCUAAAUCAUUUAAGGAUUUGGCGAUGGCCAGCCCACGUGUUGGAUAAAGAUGUGAGGAAAUUGGAUUCACAGAUAAAGUUGUGUAUGUUUGUGAGAUAUCCAAAAGUAAUAAAGGGUGGUUUGUUUUAUAACUCGAAAGAGAAAAUAUUGAUAGUGUCGAUUUAUGCUCCUUCAUUGAGAGGAGUUAUACGAACGACUUUAAAUCUUGAAGUAAAGAAGUACUUGAUGAACUUUGAGGAAGUACACAAAUCCUUGGUUUUAAAUCCAACUUCUAAUAAUAGACUUGUAAACAAUCAUCAACAUAAGGAGCUUCAUUGUAGUGAGAAGGUUUCUCGUAAGCCCGAGUUCUUCUAGUCUAGCAGAAGUGUUUUAAACACUGAGUUUUUUGAACAGGAAGAUGAUGACCAACUCACAUUUAAAAAAAUGAUGCUGAAUGCUGAUUCCAAGCUUUGGGAAAUAACUAUAAAAUCUGAGAUGAAUUCUAUGAAAUCCAGCUAAAUGGAUAUACAAGAAGAAAAGAAUGUGAAUGGAAAGUGGAAACUUAUAAGGCUAAACUUGUAGCAAAGGGGUAUACUCAGAAAGAAGGUAUCGAUUACGAAGAAGCCUUCUUUUUGGUUUCCAUACUCAAGUCAAUCUGUAUAUUGUUAUCCAUUGCGACGACUCUUAAUUAUGGAUCUGUCAAAUGGAUGCCAAGCCGAUAUUCUUUAAUGACUAUCUUGAAGAAGACACUUAUAUGAUGCAACCCACUCGAUAUAUAGCUAAAGGAAAUUAGCAUAAAAUUUACAAAUUGCUUAGAUUCAUAUAUGGACUUAAGCGAGCAUCCCGCUCAUGGAAUCAAAUAUUUGAUCAAAUGAUCAAAACUUUUGAAUUUGAGCAAAAUAUUGAUAAACUUUCUGUUUAUAAACAUAUUAAGGAUGGAAAGAUGGUUUUUCUUAUUGUAUAUGUCGAUGACAUUCUACUCAUUGGAAAUGAUUUAAGUACAUUGUCAUCGGUUAAAUUGUGAUUAACCCAACAGUUUAGCUUGAAGGACUUAAGAGAAGCUAUCUUUGUUCUAGGCAUUCGAAUUCUAAGGGAUAGAAAGAACAAAGUGAUAGCAUUAUCACUAGGUAUAUACAUAGACAAGAUAUUGAAAAUUUAUACGAUAACUGAUUCAAAAUUUAGUCAUUAUACUAUAGUGGAAUAACUUCACGACCAAAUAAGUUUAUAAUUAAUAGACGAAAAGUUGGACAUUAAUUAUAAAUUAUUUAAGCCCUAAUUACGUAUGUACAAUUGGUCCCCCCACUAGCUCGUUGAAAAAAAAAUUAAUUGCAUGUGGAACAAAAUGAAUAGAAAUGAAUGGAAAUGAUAAUGUCAGAGAAAUGAGUCACAUUAACAAAUUAAUGUGUUUUCUCACCAGGUAUAGAAAUGAAUUGAGAAAUUAAUUUAAGGUUUUCGAAUGAUUAUUUAAUUAAUUAUAAUUAAAUAAUUGAAGUUAAAAAAUGAAAUGAAAUUAAUUUUCUAUUAUGAAUGCUUUGAAUAAUGAAAUUAAAUAUACUUCCUCAUAAAAUCUUUUACAAUAAAGUUGUUAUAACUUUAACGGAAUUAGAAUUGAGUUGAGAUAAUUAUUUAAUUGAGUAAUUAAUUUAGUUAAUUAAAUUAAUUAAUUAAAUAAUAUUUAUUUUUGAAAAUAGAAAAUAAACAUUAGGUUGGAUUAAAUCAUAAAAUGCUAGGUUAAAAGUUUAGGAAACUCAUAUAAUUGAACCCAAUACAUGAGAGGUCAAAUUUGUCCCGUAUAACAUGUGAGCAACAACAACCCAAAGGGAAUUUAAGAGGAUGUGUUGCCUCCUCUCUCUUAGUUAGACAAAGAGAGUGUUUUCUAUUAAAAUAAUUGUUGAGUAUGACUCCUAUUUCAGUCAAAUUUGAAAAAUAAUCUUCUAGUUAAACUCUGUUUAUUUGUUUCAAUCAAAUUAUGAUUAGUCUAGAUUAUUUUUUUAUUAUUUGACCUAUGAAUUUAGCCUAUAAAUAGGCUCUUUUACAACUUUAGAAAAUACACCCAUUAGAGAUUAGAACUCAUACACUUUUGGAGAAUUUUUGUGUUUACAUUUUGAGGGUUCUUUGUUUUUUGGGGUUUCAGGGUUUAGUUUCUAUCUUCAUCUUUGUACUAUUCGUUCUUUUUUCAUUAUAGUAAAAUUAUUUUUGCCCGCAGUAUUUUAUCUUCUUUGGAGGGGUUUUUCUACGUUAAAUUUGUGUGUUCAAUUUCUCAAUUUCUUCCGGUAUUUUUACUUGUUCGUUGCUUAAUUGGGUCAAUCCCCAACAAUAACAUUAUUUGUUUAAGCCUUAUUCAACCAAGAUUCUUCUAUCUCUCUCUAUGAAUAGAUAGCACCGAUUGACUUAAAAAACACACUUAUUAGUUAUUGAUUUAUCGUUAUUCUACCAAAAAAUAGUGAUAAUUUAUUCACUUAGAAUAAAUUAUAUUUUUUGGGAAUUACGAUUUUUACCAGUUUCUUAAGAGAAUUUUUUUCCUACUGAAAGUAAUAAUAAUUUCUUGUUCGUUGUUUGGUUCGUGUUUCUCGAGCCCACGCUCAACCCAAAUCCAUCUUGCACAAUGUAUAGGUACUUUUUGGUAAAACGUUUAUUGCUAUAAACAUCAUAAAUCGGUUUAGUUUUUAAAAUUUUUAAACUUCUGCUAUAACUAUAAAUCGUUAUGAAGGAUUUUGAAGAACCAUAUUUUUAAGUGGGACCGUGUGUAUUAAAUCAAAUAAAAUUAUGAAGAAUUUUGAAAAACCACAUUUGUAAGUGGAAUUGGAAAAAGGAAAUUGAGCUACUGAGAUCCCCUCUUGAAAUUACUUAUAAAUUCUGAAAUUCUUUAAUAUAUUUACCCAAACAAAUAAAUUCAUUUUUAUAAAUUUAAAAAUCUUGAUAAAAAUAAAAUCCCUCCUAUAAAUCCCUCACCCAAACACACUUUUAAGUACCUAUGCAAGUUAGGAAGCAAAUGAUGACAAGGACUCAUCACUUACAAAUGAUCCAUUAGAAUGUCUGACCGGCAUUACACGUGUGUGCAUAAAACAACAAAUUUAUAAAAAAAAAUUUAUAGCAAGGUUUUACUGCAAUCAUGCAGGUUAGUUGUAAUAUUUGUAGUGUUACAAUGGAACACCAAAAUAUUCCAAGGAUCGAACUCAAAGGAGUUGGUGAUUUAAUGAUCUGCCACGAAUUAUUGACCGCCUUCAGACAUACUAACAUCUAGAGUGUGAAUAUUGCAGCAAAAGAUAUAUAUAAAUGAUGCGGUAUCUGCAAGUACACGGGUCAGGUUGUAAUAUAGUUACAACGAAGUAUGUGAGUACUCUGAGGAUCGUACCCAAAGGAGGCUAAUACUAGCUCAAUUUCAACCUAAACACCAAAAGAUCUAAUUAGUACUUGAAAUAAGUUAUAUUACGAAAAUAUAAAUAAUAGAGAUUUUUGGGGGUUUUUUAUAGUAAUGAAAAUAUGACAAGUAAUUAAAUAUUGAGAAAUUGAAAAGUGAAAUUAAUCAAAUCUGAUUAUGGGUGAUUAGCUCACUUCAGUAAUCUUCAUCAACUGCCGCUUUAGGUUCCUCAUCAAUCAACUAGUUGAUAUCCUAGUAGAAUCUUCCGAUGGAUCCACUAGAACAAUAAGUCAGCAAUGACUACUUAUCUUCUGACCUCACAGUCUAGACCGGUUUGAGGUGAAGGUGUUUACAGAUAGGCCAUAGCAAUUUUAGGUUAAUUUCCACCUUGAUAACUUCUUAGGGUCGUCAAGCCUAGGUUUUACGUUCUUCUUUUCCCAAACAGCUGAUCUGUUGAGUAAUCCUACAAAACAGUUAAUAUAUCAUAGCUCCACUCGCUAAUCCCCCAUAAAAGGAUUAGUUCCUCAUGGUUUUCGUAAACAAUAUAAAGUUGAUAUAAAGUGUAAACAUGAUAAUUGAAUCGAAAGUAUAAAGUUUAAGAAAAAGCCUGAUUUGUAUUACGAAGAAGAAUGAAUCCACAAAGUUUAAUCGUAUCCACAAGUCAUAUUUCCUGAGAUAAAACAAAGAACAAGCUGAAAUAAAUAUAAAACCUAAGAAAAGAUAAAUACUAAACUAAAAAUAAAAAGAAAGAUUCUAAGCUAAGUAAUCAGUGUCUAUAACAUGUGCCAAAUGAGCCUAUUUAUAGAUUUGAGGUGAUCGUCGUCCUUAACCCUAGGUUAGCUGACAUUCCCGAACUUUAAGUUGGAUUGUGCGGACCAAAAUACCCCCUGGCUCGUAUUAAUUCCCGUCAAGAGUUGAUGUUGCGACACAUCAAAACCUGUGUCGCGACAUAAAAGUCAGUAUACUUUUCUUCAAAGUGUCUUUAGGGGUAUGUCGCGACAUCCUUAAGCUGUGUCGUGACAUCAAAGGAAAUCUUAGAAUUCCUCCAUUCUGCUCCCUAUGUUGCAAUAUCGAAUCCUCUGUGUUGCGACAUAGUGACUAGUAUCAGUUUAGCACGCCUCCUAAUGGUCUCCUAUAUACUCACAAAGUUCAUUAGCUCACCCUUAGACCUCGUUCGACCCCUAAGGUCAAGAAAAGACUCAAUUUAUACAUUUUGUUGAAUUUAAUUAAACUUACUAAAACAUAAUUAAAAUCUAAUGAUAAUGCUUAUUUUCAAGCUCUUAAAGUGAAAAAAUUAGUUUAAUCUACUAACCCAAUUAUGACAGAUCAAUUAUAUUAUUAUUAUUUAUAUCACUUUUUACACGUAAUUUUAGCUUGUUUAAUAGUAAAUAAAAUUAUCUUAGUAUAUAUUUAUGUUUUCAUACUUGAAGUAAUGAUGUAUGCUUUUUAGUAGUUUUUAUUACAUUUUAGAUAUAUAAAUAUGGUUGCAUGGUCCUGUAGGACAAUCUGGGAGCAAAAGAUGCAUAUUCAUGAUGGAACUGUUGCCUAUGUCGCGACACCAACACAUCGAUGUUGUAACAUCAAAGGCAGAAGCAAAAACAAGUCAAUGAGCGAAACUGCUUGGUAUGUCGUGACAUAGCCUUACUAUCUUGGAGCGAAGACCUAAUAAAUUGUACAUAAAUUGAAACCUUGAACUCUUCCUUAUCCUUGGUCUUUUAAUACAUUACAAAAUAGACGUUAGGCUAUAGAUAUUGAGGGUUUAGGUAUAUACAUCAUGGUGGUUUCAAAAAAAUUUAGAGCGAAAAAAGAAGAAACAAUAUGAUACAAUGAUUAUAGGUCAAGCAAAAAUGUGCAAAAAAAGAAAAAUAUAGAAAAAGUAAAAAGUAAAAAUAAGAAGAAAAAGUACAAAAUAAAAGCAAAAGCCUUAUGAGUGAGAAAAAAAGUAAAAUGUCAAGUGGCAAAACAAAAAGUCACAAAAGUGAGAAAAACUCAGUCAUCAAUGCACAAAAACUCGUUGAGCCAACCAUAGUUAUUAGUAUUAUAUUGUAUCUUCCUACAUGGAGAGAUAAGGAAGGUGAGAGAGGGAGAAAAAAGAAGGUGAGCUUGAAAGGGGCACCUAGAGAGAGAGGGAAUAAUGUCAUGUGCCUAACUAUUUCUAGUGUUUGAACUAUUUUGAGCCAUAUCUUUCUUUGAACUCGUACAGUCCUAAGCCUCAGAACAUUACAAGCCUAGAAGACCAAUGUGACUUAAGCGUUCUCUGUGCAUAAUCUUCUAGUAUUGCUAAUGUAAUGACCUAAAUUCAAGGUUAGCGGAAUAGUGGUUUCGUAACCAUAAAUCCGAUUUAAAGAAAAAUUUAUUUUAAUAUUUUGCAUGAAUAUUGAUAUGAUAGGAAAACCGUAUGAAAAUAUUGAUAGAAAAAUUUUACCGAUUUAAUGGUUAGUUAGAAAAAGAAAUUAUUGAAGAAAUUGGGUAAAAAUAAGGUAUGGGGACCUUGAUCUCGUAAAACUGAGUCAGAAAUAUUUUUAUAAAUAUUUAUGAAAUGUAAGCAAUGUGGUAUUAAAAUUUUGUUAUAAAAUUUUAAUGUUUGGGUAGUCAAUUAAAUGAAAAGGACUAAAUUGAAAAAGGUGUAAAAGUGGCUGGGAUGAUUAAAUAGCUUAGGUGUCUAAUGAGAAAGGAUUUAAAAGGCAAUUAGACCAAAAUUUAUUUGGGCUGGACGGAAAGGGCAUGAAAUCAGCAAGAAAAUGGAUUAUUUAAGGGUAAAAUUGGAAUAUUGCAUCAUUAACUAAAUAAAAUUAGGACUAAUGUAGAAAUAUCUAGAUUUCUUGUGAUUUCUCUUCAUUCUCAUCAGCCAAAAGGCCAUAGGAGGGGUUCUUUAAGCUGGUAUUUCAUAAUUUUUGCACCAAGUGAGUUAAUCCUUGCCUUUUUCUUGUAAUUUUUGUGUUUCUAAGACUUUUACAACUAGGUUCUACUAUUAAAUUCAUUAGUUUUUGAUUUCAUGGAUGGAAUUGAAAGUCACCAUGGUUGAGUGCUGUAAGUUUAUGAUGAAAUAACAUGAAAUUGAAGCUUUAAUUUGUUUAUGAGAUGAUUUUAUUAGGUAAUUUUAAUAGAAAUUGAUUUUUAAGACCUAAUUGUGAAAAGUUGGAAUUAAAGUCUAGUGCUGAAAUUUUGAUUCCCAAAGGUUAUAAAGUAGUUUAAAGUGAUAGAAUAAAGUGUUAAUUGAGAAAAAUCAGCUCAAUUGAGAGGUUAAUUGAGCAGGGACGAAAUUAUCAUUUAUUAAAAGCUUAGGGGAAAAUGGUAAUAAACAUCUUGCACUAAAACAGCUUUGGACAGCAACAGUAGGCUAACUUUAAAAAAAUCACCAUAAAUUGUGGAAAUCUAAUUAGAGGAUAAAUAAAAUAUUGAAUUAAAGCUUAUUGAGUCUAGUUUCUUAUAGUAGAAACGGUGUAAGUAAUGGAAUUGUAAAUCAUGAGAUAUAUUAAAUUUUGUGAGACAAGGUCAGAAUGAAUUCGGAAUCCCCUGUUCUGAAUUUGGAAAAUCAUUAAAAAUUGGAGAAAAAUAAUUAAGGGUUAAAAUUUACAUAUUUAAACUAUUAAUGAGUCUAUUUUUAAUAGAAACAAACGGAAAUAUCAUCCAAAUUUUGUACUAAGAGAUAAUUAAUUUUUAGCAAAGAAAGGUCGAAGUUGUCAAACAACAGAACAGGGGUAAGUUUGAAGAUUUUACUGUACUCAUUGGCUGAACCAAAAAUUCUGAAAAUUUUAUGGUGAAAAUAUAUUUGAGUGUAGUUUCAGAAGCAUCAAAUGGUUUUUAAUAUGGAAUUCUGUAGCUUGAGAUAUAAAUAAUUUAGUGACUACGACUCAAGUAGACAGCUUUGAGUGAACAGUAAAUAAUAGUGGAAUUAUAGAGAAUGUUACAUAUGAACGUGAAAUGUAUUAAAUUGAUGAUUAAAUUUAUUUAUUUAGAUCCAGAAAAUUCAAAUAUGAAGCUAGAUCGAGGAAAGGAAAAAGUUCGGGAUUAGUAGAUUUUUGUAUACGAACAAGUAUCGAGGUAAGUUUGUGUAACCUGAAUUAUAUUCUUAAAUGCUUGAAAUGUAUAUUAUUGAUGUGAAUAUGAUUUAAAUGUUCAUUGUAUGAAAAUUGAUGAGACAUUGAUAUAUUUGAUAAAAAGGGGGAAAAAUCCCGGUUGAAUAAAAGGAAAAUUCGAUGGAUCUUUAAAAAGGAAUUGACGGUAAAGAAAAGAUCUAUCCCGGACAGGUGAUCCUACCCUGAUAUAGCCCUCUCGAAGAAUAUGUGUAAAAUAGAUUUAGCUCAGACGGGUAAUCUGAAUUAGGGUUUGAAUUUAGCCUGGACUAGUAAUUCAGAUCCAAGCUCAUUAGAGUAAAUUGUCGUUGUAGGGGAUUUAGCCUAGACUUGUAAUCACAACAAUACUCUAUAAGUUUAUAUUACAGGGGAUUUAGCCUGGACUGGUAAUCCUGCUGUAAGGAUGAGGUUCGCAGGAGUGUGCUCUCUGAAAUGGAAAUGUGCGCACAUGAAUAUGAAUUGACGGACCCGGAAUAGUACGCUAAAAGUGUACCUCUAAAAACCCAUCGAAAUUCCGAGAAAUUCAAUGGGAUAAAUAUGGUAAAUAAUAAGGGUAAUAGAAAACAUGGAAUUGAUGAGCUCAUCAGUCAUUAAUCUUUGUAUUGAACUCAUAUGAUGCUAUUUGAUUAAUGUUUUGGUUGAGUUUGUGUGAUAGGUAAAUGGUAAAUUGAAUGGAUGUAUGAAUAUUUAUUGUAUUGUAUUGGAAAUAUUAGGUAAGUAUAAUUCUUGUUACAUGACUUUACUAAGCACAACGUGCUUACCCUGUUUCCUUUUUCCCUGAUUUGUAGUAUUAAGAGCUCGAAGGUUGGAUUCGGUCGGAGAUACAUCACACUAUCAACUUCAACAUUUUGGUAUAUCAAGAAACUUUAUUUUGGAAUCACUGAUGUGUAUAAGUUGAUAGAGUAAAUGUUAAAGUGAAAUGAAUGUAAAGUUAGCCAUUGGUAUGGCUUGAAAUCCAGGUUUUGGUAUGUGAUGAGGUUAUCUUAUGGAUAUGCGUAAAUCUAUCUUGAAAAUAUGUUGAAUUUGAUUGGUUGAUUUGAUUUGAUAUCGGUGUAUGUUUUGGGCUUCGGAGGCCUAUCUAAGGGACGUCAUAAUAUGUUUCAAUAAAAGAAUAGUAUUUAACUCGUAAUAACGAAAAAAAAUAAUUUGAAAAACUCUGGCAAUGCCUCGUACCCUAUUCCAGUGACGAAUAUAGGUAAGGAGUGUUACAGCUAACAAUUGUACUUAAUGAAAAUUUUUUAUUCACAUGAUUGUAUCUACUCAAUAUCUAUUUGAUUUCUAUUAACGGUGAUAUUGUUAAACAUUUGGUUAUGAGAUUUGCUUCUAAUUUAUUAGUAAUGUAACUUUGUAAAGUAAUCUUAGUUUACUUUAAAAAGUUUUCAAUGCAUCGAACUAUCAAUAUUAAGUUGCAUGUGCGAUAAAAUUUUUUAUAGCUUUACUAUUUGACAACCAUGUUCGUAGUAGUAAUAAAUUCCAAGGGACGUCUUCUUUUUGCAUACUAUAUGUCUAAAGUUGGUUUGCUUGAGGACAAGCAAAAAGUUAAGUGUGGGGGAGUUACGUGUGAGAUUCUUAUUUACAUCCAUCUUCACUAACUUUAUCUUGUUUAAAUAAAGAAAUCAAGUCAUUUUCGUAUUAUUUUUUUUCCUUUUUCCCAUAUAUGUGUUUUGGUUGCUUGAGGACAAGCAACAAGUUAAGUGUGGGGGAGUGAUCUACCAGGAAUUAUACUAUUAUUUACAUCCCUUUGUAUACAUAAUUGUAUCUUGUUUAAUAGUAAAUCAAGUUAUCUUAGUAUAUAUCUAUGUUUUCAUACUUGAAGUAAUGACAUAUGUUUUUUAGUAGUUUUAUUACAUCCUAGAUAUCUAAAUAAGGUUAUAUGGUCAUGUGGGACAAAUCGGGAGCUAAACAUGCAUAAACGGGCCAAAAAUGAUGCCUAUGUCGUGACACCAAGACACCGAUGCCGCAACAUCAGAGACAAAAGCAAAACAAGUCUUGGGGUGAAACUGCUUGUUAUGUCAUAACAUAACAGGCACCAUAUUUGAUUUUGCAACACUACAUGCCUAUGUUGCAACACCACUUCUGCGCGGUCCAAAAGUCCUAGUGCGUGAUAGUUGCAUUUUUUAGGGAAAUUAGGAGAAUUUUUCCUAGUCAAACUCUAAGCACUUCAAAGAUAGUUUAGGCACUUUAAUAUUCUGAGUUUAGCCUAUAUAAAGGCCAUUGUAAUAAGUUCAAACACACAAUUUUAAGGAGACAAAAAUUAUUCUUAGGUUUUUAUUGCAUUCUUAGUUUCUACUUAGUUUAUUUUAUGUUCUUGUAAUCAAAAGAUCCUAUUCCAAAGUGAGACUUUUGCGAGCGGAGAUUGUUCGGAGCCAUACUUUCAUCGAUAAAUCUAUGAGCAUCUCUUUCCUUUAUUUUAUUCUUUAUAUUUCUUUCUUUAAAAUUGUUAAUUGAAUGUUUGUGUAAAGAUUAGAAUCAAUAUAAUUUAUAUAUAUUUCGCAUGUUUCAAUUGUACUAAUCUUAUUAAUUGAUUGAUUGAUAGAGUUUAUUUGGGUUGGUUAGAUUUGGUUGAGUGUUAUUAAACCCUAGGAUUGACAACCCUAAGAAGUCAUCUAGGUAGGAAUUAACUUGAAAUUGGUAUUGCCUACAAAGCAUCACUUAGCAAAUCAAUGGUUAGAGAAGGAAGAACUUAAACCCUAUGAUAGACGAUCCUAGGAAGUCAUAUAGGUGUGAAUUAACCCAAAUUCGGUAUUGCCUAUCCAUGAAAACCUUACCCUACCCCGAUCUGGACUGCAUCAUUGAGAGGUGAGUAGUUCUUGUCGUCUAGUUAGGUUAGUAGAAGUUGAGAAGCCCUGCUAGGUUAAUUAGUAACCAACUAUUUAGAUCCCUACAUCAAUAAUUAAUUAGGUAAAACAAUUGGAUCUAGGCUUAAGGAACUCCCGUAUUCGAAACAAGGGAUAGGAGAAGUUGAUACAUGAACUUAAGAGUAGAUUUAAGUUUAGAUCACUUUAUUUGGUUAUUAUUAUCAUCUUACUUUUAGAUUAACACUACUAAUUUAUACCUUUAGUAGAUUAGUAGUUAUUUUCGGUAAUUUGCUUAAUAGUAGUUUUUUUUUCACACUGCACAAUCUUCAGAAUACUUACCAAGUAUUUCAUUGUAAACAAACUAUAUUACAACCUGCCCCUUAUACUUGUGAACACAACCUUAAUUCCAUAUAUUUUGUAACAGUAUUCAUACUCUCAACGUUGGUAUGUCGGGAGGCAGUCAUUUAGCGAUUUCUAUUCAAAAGUGCAUGCAAGUAAGGAGACCGUGAUGGGCACAGUGAGGUGUCUAUUAGUUGAAAGCAAGUUGCCAAAGGAAUUUUGGGUUGAGGUAGUUAACACUUCAGUCUAUUUGGUGAACAGGCUGUCAACCAAGGAUGUGAAAGAAAAGACUCCAUUUGAAGCUUGGUACGGGUAUAAGCCUUUUGUUUCUCAUUUGAAAGUAUUUGGCUAUAUUUUUUUUUCAUGUACCUCAGGUGAAAAAAAGCAAAGUAGAAAGGAAAUCGUAGCCUGGGAUUUUUAAGAUGCUACUAUCUGAUUCUUAAGGAAAUACCAAUAUUUCUUCCUCCCUUGAGCUGGAAGUUGCGAUUUUGGGUUGUUAUGAGGAGAUAUUUUAUGUUUGGUUAAGUAGUAUGACUUUGUAUGCGAGUUCUGAAAGAGUAAGUUUGUUAGAUUUGGUAAAACAAAAAGAUAAAGAUAUGAGGCUUUGUUUGGGGACUUCUAAUGUUAGAAAUGUUAGUAAAAAGGUAUAUGAAUAAAUUUUGAUGUGCUUCUAUGUUCUGUAUCAGUGCUUGCUGUUGAUUUCGUAAUGAGAGUCUAGAUCUAGAGUUUUUCUUUGCGACAAGUUAGAAUCAGGUGAGUCUCUAAACUGACUCUUGUAUGUAUUAUUCAUACUAAAAAAACUGUAGGAAAUUUCUUGGAAGGUGAUGUGUGAUCUUGUAAGUUGCAGUAUGUUGUGUAUGUGACUUAGGAGUGACUAUUAAAGGAUAUAUAUGAGUGUGUGAAUGUUUGUUAAGAAUGGAAUACAUAUCUGGUAUGAAUAUGAUAGUUCUAGUAAGGCGAGGUGAGGUAUAGUUGCAUCUGAAUGUCAUGAAAGUAUAUGUGCAUGUCUUGGAUGUAUGCUAUGAGGAAUGUUCUAUUAAGAGCAAGUUGUUAUUCAAAUGGUGAAUAUGGAUCGUGUCAGUGCAUGUAGAGUAUCUGUCUGUCUUCACGGUAUUGUCUAAAGGAGUCUGUUGAGACUUUAAACACGAAUUCUGAAAAGAAAAUUCCAUGGCCAUGGCACAUUCCGAAAGGAACUAAAGGACGAGGAUUACCCAAUGGGGUUAUCUGCCUAUCCCAGGAUGAUGAUAGGCAAACCUCACGCAACGUGAGUUUAGGAAAAUCUAUAUCAUAAAUACGUCAGGAAAUGAAGCCUUUGUGGAUAACUCUAAAAAGAAAGCCUUUGUGGCUAACUCUAAAAAGGAAGCUUUCAUGGCGAACUCCAAAGGAAUAACCUCUAUGGCCAAUUGUAAUAGGAUAGCCUUUGUGGCGCAAUGUAAAAGGAACACCUGUGUGGCGAAUUAUGAAAAGAAUAGCCUUUGUGAUGGAUUAUGAAAGAGCAUCAUUCGUAGCAAACUUCAAAUGUGAUGUCCUUGUGGCGUGUCUUAAUAAGGCUCUUAGUGGGAAAACUUUAAAAGAUGUCACUUAUGGCAAUUUUUGAAUUAAGCUAAUUUUCGUAUUCAAUCUGGCUUUUAAAUGUAUUCAGAACACAAUCAACAAGGCAUAAGUUAUCUAUUAAUUAUACGGUGAAGUAUCACAUAGGACUAUCAAUCGAUUGGAAGUAUUGAAUUGAAGAGAUAUAUAGAAAUAAGGAAUUAGUAUGGAAAGUUUAUUUCAAAAUAAGGAUUUGGAAUUGUACAUUUGAAGAAGGUAUUUGUCAUCUACUCACAUGAUGGCUUAGAACUAAGUAUGGUACAGUAAUAGUGUGUUAGUUAAGUUGAUCUUGGAAAGGAAAUGCAAAGAUACUUAUAAAUGCUAGGAUGAAAGGCAUACGUGAUGUAUCGAAUACCCCAAUGGAAAAAGAGUUAAUUUUUGAGUAAGGCAUGAUAUAUAUAGUGUAUGAAGAAUGGAAUUUGAGGGAAGCAAUCGCCAAAGACAGGUUACUGGGCAAGAACAAUAAGAUCAUCUCAUUGAAUCAUCAACUGUAUUGUGCAAAUAUCACAUAGGUAAUUAUAUAUUCCUCACUUAGUUUGUAUAAACUUAUCCAUGUGUAUGUUAUAUUAUAGGUUUGAUUGCAAGGCUACACCAAGAGGGACGAUACCAGGACUACUCUAAAGGAGUGGCGUAUCGGGAAAUUAUGAAUGCAAUUAGUUGAUAUGUUCCUUAGAAUUCAUAUUUUUUUUGUAAUAUAUAGGUUUUAAAUUAGAAAUAUUUAUACCUUAAUUACCAUGUGUUGCAAAUGUAGUUAUCUACUGAACAUACUUAUAUAUUUAGUUUGAAAUCUGCAAUUGAAUAAGUUGUAAUUGUUUGAAAUUUGUAUAAGUAGGUUAAGUUUUUGUUUGUUUAUGUUGGUAAUGCCCAAGAUCUAGAUCCAAAAAAACGGACCAAGCUCAACAAAGGACUUCUCCUCGGCCAUGACUACAAUAAGCUCAGUGAUGCAUUGUCGGUGCAAAUAAUGUUCUUCCCAAAACUUCAAUCCAUCUUCAAACUAGUAGAAUGCUUCUUUUUCACUUAUAUCAGAUAUUUAAAGCAUUUAUUCACUAAAGUACUAAAUAGUGCCUUCUUGAGUAAGCCAGUGCAACUUAGCCCGAGCUUCCUUCUCGGCAUAUUAUUGGUAAAACUGUUUUUUCAUCUCCUUUUGGAACUCCUCCUAAAUUUUAAUUUUAGUCCUACCAUGUUUCUCAUCCGUGAACCUACGAUGCCACCAUAAGAGAGUAACAUCAGUAAAAUAAAUUAAAGCAGUGUUUACCUUAGUGACAUCUAUAAUGACCCAAAAUUCACGGGCAUCGAAAAAGUAUAAUAUCGAGCCUCCGUCUUGAGUUUAAAAAUAAUUAUUAGAAAUAUUUACGAGACUAGUUGUGUGUUUAAUUAGGUUUUAGAUAGGUGAAUUUGGCUCAAUUAAGAGUAAUUAGCAAAAGGGAUUAAAUUACAAUAGAAGUGAAAAUCUAAUCAUAGAUUAAAAGAAAGUAAAAAGGGCUAAAAUGGCAAUUAAGCCAUUUAAAAUGAUUGAGGCGGCAUAAAGGAAUAAAUUUUAAGAUUUUAUUUAUUUAAUUAUAUGAUUAAUGAUAUUUAUUGUUUAUUAUUAGUUAUUAGUUAUUAUUAAAUUAAAAGAUAUUUAGUAAUUAAAUAAUUAGUAUAAGAUUUUUGGGUAAUAAUAAAUUAUGAUUUUGCCAAGUGUGUGGUAAAAAUAAAAUACAAGUGUAUUAUAUUUCUUUAUUUACUUGAAAAUUAAGUAAAAGAUAAUUGUUAAUUAAAUAAUAAUAUUAUGAGAUUUUUAUUUGAUAAAUUAGUUAGAUUGAGACAAGUGUAUGUAAUGAUUUAAUGCAAGUGUACUAAUAAAAUACAUACAUUUGUAAUAUUUAUAAUUAGUUAAUAUAAUAUAAAGUAAAUGAAAUAAAAUGAAAUAAAAACAAAGCAAAAGAAAGGAAAGAAACAGAAUAGAAGAGACGAAACAGGGGAGAAACAGGGGAGAAAGAAGAAAAAGAAGAAAAUAGGGAAAAUAGGGUUUUUGAAGCUUGAAAUUUAAUUUGGUAAGUCAAAUUAGCCCUUUUCUCUUAAUUCUAAUGUUUUAAAAGCUUUAAAACAAAGUUUUGAUGGAAUUAAGUUGAUAUUUUGUAAGUUCAUAGGUUUUCAAGUAACGUUUAUGUUGAACAAAAGAGAUGAAUUAAGAAUUAAAUUGAAUGAAUUUUAAGUUAGAAUUGAAAAAGGGAUUAAAUUGUAAAAGAAACUAUAAGUUUUAUGUUUUAGGGACUAAAUUGAGGGAAAUUCGAAAUUAGCAAAAAUGCUGAAAUUUCGAUAGUUAAAUUUUAGUUUGGAUGAAAUUUGAAUAGAAAUAGAGUGUGAAUUGAAUUAGGAAAGCAAGUGAAUUUAGUUAGGAUUAAAUUGAGAAUUAGGAAGAAAUUGAAUAGAAAUUCAAUUAUUUAUUAUAAUUAGUGCUGUAAUUAAUAUUACAAAUUAUUAUUAUUUUCGUAGCUAACAAAGAACCCGAGGCAUCGGCGUCAAAAGGAAAGGAGAAAGUUAUCGAGGACUAAAACGGGAGAUUUACGGUUUGUAUUACUAUAAUUCAAAUUAUUUAUUUUUAAAUGUUUAAUUUUAAUUUAUGUGUUUAGUAAAUGAAAUGUGCGGUAAGUAUUAUUAUUAUUAUUAUUAUUAGUGGGAAUUAAACUGAAUAUUUGAUAUGAAUUAAUAUUUGAAUUGUUUGUUGAUUGAAAGUGGGAAGUGAAUUUAAAUCGAAUAGUGACUGAUAUUAAAUUGAAUGGAAAUGUAUUGAGUUGUGAAAAUGUGUGAAUUGCGGAUUAAUUAUUGAUUGAAAGGUGGAAAAAUGAUUGAAUUGAAAAUGUGAGAAAUUGUGAUUGAAUUGGGAUUAUAUGUGAUUUAAAUACCCUAUUAACUAGUCGGGCUGAGUCGGAUAUAGUUGGCAUGCCAUAGGAUUGGAAGAGUUCAGGGAUACUUCGACCUCGAGUCGAUGAGACACUGGGUGUCACUAUAUUUUUUCGGAUAGAUUCGAUGAGGUACUGGGUACCAACUUUCUUCGGCUUUGCCGAUGAGACACUGGGUGUCAACUAUUGCUUCGAACUAUCCGAUGAGGCACUGGGUGUCAUACUGGUGUGUUUGGUUGGAUCCGUGUAUCCGCCAAAGUCCGAGUUUUGUUAAUAGGGUAAUUAAUGAAAUGAUAAACCGAACGAGCUACUGAAAUGAAAUGAAAAAGUUGAAUUGUGAAUUGAAAUGUGAAAUGAGAUUGAGAAAUGAACCUAAAGUUCAUGAGAUGUUCAAAUUCAAAUUGUGGAUAUGUGAUAUUGAUUGAUGGAUUGCUAUUGUUGAGAUAUUGAAUUUAAAUUGUAUAUACGAUUUAUGCAUUACAUGUACAUUAUUGUUAUAAUUUGAAUUAUGGUAAUACCACUGAGUAUGAAUUACUCAGCGUACGGUUGUUUCCAUGCGCAGGUCGAUAGAAGUCAAAGGUCUCGGUUCAGCAUCCAGAUUAAUCCCGGCUUCAGCAUAACUUUGGUGAUGUAUAUUUUCUUUUGGUAAUGUGGCAUGUACAUAGGAAUUAUAAGUUUUAUAUAAAUGGUUAAAAAUGUUAGUAUUAUAAGUUUAUGAAUUAUAAUGAAAGAAGUUUAUCUAUUUUAAUCUAAUUAGUCAAUGGAUAAAUUUAAAUUGAUAUUAUGUUAAUUGAGUUUGAUUAGAAGUAUUUAGAAUAGAAAAUGUGAAUGUGAAAUGAAUUGGUUGAUUUGGUUAUAUUUGAAAAUGUUAUGGAUUUUAAUUGCAGGGGGUUGUAUGUAAAAAUAAGCAGAAGUGCUGCCGAAAUUUUUCAAAAAAAAAAUGAAUGAAGUUUAUUAGCGAAAUUUAUAUGAAUUUAUGACUCUCUUUUAUAUGUUCGUUAAUUGUUUAUGAAUUAUUUGAAAUUUGUCUGAAAUGUCCGGUAAUGCCUCAUAACCCUGUUCUGGCAACGGUUCAGGGUUAGGGGGUGUUACAGUUGUUGGUAUCAGAGCUAUCAGGUUUAGCCGAUUCUCGGCCUAAAUCGAGCUCGGAAUUGAGUCUAGAUGUACAUGCCACUGUCGAGUCAAACUGAGUCGAGAUUUUUGGAUGCUGACCUAUUUGUUUGCUUUGUUUUAUAGAUUAAAGAUGUCUGAAGAAAGAAUAAAUGAUACUGAUGAAAGAAUGUAUACUGAAGAUAGAGAAUUAGAUGAAACAGAAUCUGCUGCACCGAGUGUGAAUCUGUUAGGCAACCAGCCUCCUAAUGUGGAACGGGAAAAUGCCAGAGAUAGAGAUGAAUCCCAAUUACUGAGAAUUAUAGCUGAUGCAUUACAAAGAGUAGCGAGAACUACUCCUGCUACGACUUCAGUACCUACUGUUAGACGGGCCCCGAUAAAAGAACUGAGAAAAUAUGGUGCCACUGAAUUUAUGGGUCUAAAAGGAGUCGAUCCAUCCGCAGCUGAAAAUUGGAUGGAGUCGAUUAAAAGAAUUUUGCAGCAAUUAGACUGUACCCCCCGUGAGUGUUUAAUCUGUGAUGUAUCGUUGCUACAAGGGGAGGCUUAUCUAUGGUGGGAAUCAGUAGUUCGACAUCUAUCAGAGAGUCAGAUAACGUGGGAUCUAUUUCAGAAGGAAUUCCAAAAGAAAUAUAUCGGAGAGAUAUAUAUCGAAGACAAGAAACAAGAGUUUUUAAUGUUACAACAGGGGGAUAUGUCAGUAAUAGAUUAUGAGAGAGAAUUCUCGAGACUCAGCAGAUAUGCCUCCAAAUUUAUCCUGACAGAAGCUGAUAGUUGUAAAAGAUUUCUAUGGGCUUUGCGAGACGAGAUCAAGGUACAGUUAGUAUCUCAUCGGAUCACUGAGUUAGUAGAUUUGAUUGAGCGGGCUAAAAUGGUGGAACAAGUUCUAGCCCUUGAUAAAAAGACUGAAGUUGUUAGACCAACCAGGAAAUGUACAGGAACUACGAGUUCGAACCUUCAGCCGAAAAGACCAAAGGAGUCUCAAGGUGGUUGAAGAUCCAGUUUCAGAUCAGGCAAAGGUGGUAGAAGCAGGGGAAGAUAGAUGACGGUAUCUACUGGCAAUGUGAGAGGUCCUUGUCGAGAAAUAGAAAUUCCAGACUGUCAACACUGUGGAAAGAAACAUAGAGGGGAAUGUUGGAGAUUAACUAGAGGUUGUUUCCGAUGUGGUUCUACAGACCAUUUUAUCAGAAAUUGUUUGAAAACUGAUAGUACUGUACCCGUGACAUCACAGAGAUCGGUAUCUACUGCUAGAGGCAGAGGGUUAGGAAGAGGUGGUUCGGUUUCAAGGGGAGGAAGUAUUAGGAGGAGUAGUGAUAUUGCUACCCAGCAGUCUGAAGCUAAAGUACCUGCCAGAGCUUAUGUGGUCAGAACACGGGAAGAAGGCGACGCCCACGGUGUAGUAACAGUAAGAUCAGAACUGUAUGUGAGUUUCCAGAUGUAUUCCCUGAAGAACUACCGGGUUUACCACCUGACAAAGAGGUUGAAUUUGCUAUAGAAGUGUAUCCGGGUACAACACCAAUCUCUAUACCACCGUAUCGAAUGUCGCCCACUGAGUUAAAAGAGUUGAAAGUGCAAUUACAGGACUUGCUAGAUCGUGGAUUUAUUAGACCGAGCAUUUCACCUUGGGGAGCUCCGGUAUUGUUUGUUAAAAAGAAAGAUGGAUCGAUUCGGCUUUGUAUUGAUUACCGGCAGUUAAACAAAGUGACGAUCAAGAACCGGUAUUCGUUACCCCGUAUAGAUGAUUUAUUUGAUCAACUAAAAGGAGCUUCAGUAUUUUCGAAGAUUGACUUGAGAUCUGGGUAUUAUCAGCUGAAAGUAAAAGAAAGUGAUGUUUCGAAGACUGCAUUUCAUACUCGAUAUGGUCAUUAUGAAUUUUUGGUAAUGCCGUUCGGGUUGACUAAUGCUCCAGCUGCUUUUAUGGAUUUGAUGAAUCGUAUUUUUCAGCCAUAUUUAGACCAGUUUGUGGUGGUUUUUAUUGAUGAUAUAUUGGUUUAUUCAAAUUCGGAGUCAGAGCAUGAUCAGCAUCUCAAAACCGUGUUACAGAUUCUGCGGGAAAAAUAGUUGUACGAGAAACUGAGUAAAUGUGAAUUCUGGUUAUCAGAGGUAGUAUUCUUGGGACAUGUUGUAUCUGCGGAUGGGAUUAGAGUUGAUCUGAAGAAGAUUGAGGCAAUUGUUCAAUGGAAGGCACCAAAGAAUGUAUCAGAGGUACGCAGUUUUCUUGGUUUGGCUGGGUAUUACAGAAAAUUUGUAAAUGGGUUUUCGAAGAUAGCUUUGUCGAUGACCAAGUUACUACAGAAGAAUGUUCCAUUUAUCUGAGAUGAUCAAUGCCAGAGAAGUUUUGAAACAUUGAAACAAAUGUUGACAGAGGCACCAGUCCUAACUUUACCAGAAUUAGGGAAAGAUUUCAUAGUGUACAGUGAUGCUUCUUUGAAUGGUUUGGGUUGUGUAUUGAUGCAGAAUGGAAAAAUAAUAGCUUAUGCAUCUCGACAGUUGAAACCACAUGAACGUAACUACCCGACACACGAUUUGGAGUUAGCUGCUGUAGUAUUUGCAUUGAAGAUUUGGAUACAUUACUUGUAUGGUGAGAAAUGUUAUAUUUACACUGAUCAUAAAAGUCUCAAAUAUCUUCUGUCACAAAAGGAGUUGAAUCUGAGACAGAGACGAUGGAUAGAACUUCUGAAAGAUUAUGAUUGUGUUAUAGAUUAUCAUCUAGGAAAGGCAAAUGUGGUAGCAGAUGCAUUGAGCAGAAAGGCAGCGGCUGAAUUACGGACAAUGUUUGCUCGGCUUAGUAUUAAUGAUGAUGGAAGUUUGUUAGCUGAGUUAAGAGUUAAGCCGGUAAUGUUUGAUCGAAUCAGAGCAGCACAACUAGAAGAUGAGAAGUUGAUGAAGAAAAGAGAAAUGGUACAGCAUGGUACGGUAGAAAAUUUUAGUAUUGACGAGCAUGAUUGUUUGAGAUUUCGGAAUCGAAUUUGUAUUCCAGCUACUUCUGAGAUUAAAGAGCUGAUUCUUCGAGAAGCACAUGAUAGUAUUUUUGCUUUGCACCCAGGUGGAACGAAGAUGUAUCGCGAUCUACGAGAACUGUAUUGGUGGCCAAGAAUGAAGAACGAUAUAGUUGAGUAUGUCAGUAAAUGCUUGACUUGUCAGCGGGUAAAAGCAGAACAUCAGGAACCAACAGGUCUGUUACAGCCUAUUACUAUUCCCGAGUGGAAAUGGGAUCGCAUUACCAUGGAUUUUGUUAUGGGGUUGCCAUUGUCAGUGAGUAAAAAGAAUACCAUUUGGGUGAUUGUUGAUCGACUCACAAAGUCAACUCAUUUUAUAGUAGUUAGAACCGACUGGUCAUUACAGAAGCUUGCCGAGGUUUAUAUUCGAGAAAUUGUUAGAUUACAUGGUAUUCCGGUAUCAAUAAUUUCAGACAGAAAUCCUCAAUUCACUUCGAGAUUUUGGAAGCAGCUGCAUGAAUCAUUGGGUACUCGACUUAGUUUCAGUACAGCUUUUCAUCCUCAAACUGAUGGACAAUCUGAACGGGUAAUUCAGAUAUUAGAAGAUAUGCUUCGAGCUUGUGUCAUUGAUUUUGAAUCAGGUUGGGAACGUUAUUUACCAUUGGCCGAGUUUGUUUAUAAUAAUAGUUUCCAAUCUAGUAUUCAAAUGGCUCCGUAUGAAGCACUUUAUGGUCGAAGGUGUCGGUCACCAGUAUGUUGGACAGAAUUAAAAGAAAGAAAAGUGAUUGGGCUGGAAUUAAUUCAAGAGACAGAAGAAACAGUUAAGAAGAUUAAAGAUAGACUGAAAGCCGCUUUUGACAGACAGAAAUCUUACGCAGACUUGAAACGACGAGACAUUGAAUAUUCCAUUAGUGAUAAGGUAUUCCUCAAAGUAUCGCCGUGGAAGAAAAUUUUGAGAUUUGGUCGGAAGGGAAAAUUAAGUCCGCGCUUUAUUGGGCCGUAUGAGAUUGUGGAAAGAAUUGGGCCUGUUGCUUAUCGAUUAGCCUUACCUCCAAAGUUACAGAAAAUUCAUGAUGUUUUUCAUGUUUUGAUGCUUCGGAGAUUUAGAUCGGAUUCUUCUCAUAUCAUUCCCACUGAAGACAUUGAAAUUCGAUCUGAUUUAACUUAUGAAGAAGAACCAAUUCAGAUAUUAGCACGAGAAGUGAAAGAAUUAAGAAAUAAACGGGUUCCUUUAGUAAAAAUUUUAUGGAGAAGUCAUAGUGUGGAAGAAGCGACUUGGGAACCGGAAGAGACAAUGAGAGCACAAUAUCCUCAUCUCUUCUCAGGUAAAUUUCGAGGACGAAAUUUAUUAAGGGGGAGAAAUGUAAUGACCCAAAAUUCACGGGCAUCGGAAAAGUAUAAUAUCGGGCCUCCGUCUUGAGUUUAAAAAUAAUUAUUAGAAAUAUUUAUGAGACUAGUUGUGUGUUUAAUUAGGUUUUAGAUAGGUGAAUUUGGCUCAAUUAAGAGUAAUUAGCAAAAGGGAUUAAAUUACAAUAGAAGUGAAAAUCUAAUCAUAGAUUAAAAGAAAGUAAAAAGGGCUAAAAUGGCAAUUAAGCCAUUUAAAAUGAUUGAGGCGGCAUAAAGGAAUAAAAUUUAAGAUUUUAUUUAUUUAAUUAUAUAAUUAAUGAUAUUUAUUAUUUAUUAUUAGUUAUUAGUUAUUAUUAAAUUAAAAGAUAUUUAGUAAUUAAAUAAUUAGUAUAAGAUUUUUGGGUAAUAAUAAAUUAUGAUUUUGUCAAGUGUGUGGUAAAAAUAAAAUACAAGUGUAUUAUAUUUAUUUAUUUACUUGAAAAUUAAGUAAAAGAUAAUUGUUAAUUAAAUAAUAAUAUUAUGAGAUUUUUAUUUGAUAAAUUAGUUAGAUUGAGACAAGUGUAUGUAAUGAUUUAAUGCAAGUGUACUAAUAAAAUACAUACAUUUGUAAUAUUUAUAAUUAAUUAAUAUAAUAUAAAGUAAAUGAAAUAAAAUGAAAUAAAAACAAAGCAAAAGAAAGGAAAGAAACAGAAUAGAAGAGACGAAACAGGGGAGAAACAGGGGAGAAAGAAGAAAAAGAAGAAAAUAGGGAAAAUAGGGUUUUUGAAGCUUGAAAUUUAAUUUGGUAAGUCAAAUUAGCCCUUUUCUCUUAAUUCUAAUGUUUUAAAAGCUUUAAAACAAAGUUUUGAUGGAAUUAAGUUGAUAUUUUGUAAGUUCAUAGGUUUUCAAGUAAUGUUUAUGUUGAACAAAAGAGAUGAAUUAAGAAUUAAAUUGAAUGAAUUUUAAGUUAGAAUUGAAAAAGGGAUUAAAUUGUAAAAGAAACUAUAAGUUUUAUGUUUUAGGGACUAAAUUGAGGGAAAUUCGAAAUUAGCAAAAUAUGCUGAAAUUUCGAUAGUUAAAUUUUAGUUUGGAUGAAAUUUGAAUAGAAAUAGAGUGUGAAUUGAAUUAGGAAAGCAAGUGAAUUUAGUUAGGAUUAAAUUGAGAAUUAGGAAGAAAUUGAAUAGAAAUUCAAUUAUUUAUUAUAAUUAGUGCUGUAAUUAAUAUUACAAAUUAUUAUUAUUUUCGUAGCUAACAAAGAACCCGAGGCAUCGGCGUCAAAAGGAAAGGAGAAAGUUAUCGAGGACUAAAACGGGAGAUUUACGGUUUGUAUUACUAUAAUUCAAAUUAUUUAUUUUUAAAUGUUUAAUUUUAAUUUAUGUGUUUAGUAAAUGAAAUGUGCGGUAAGUAUUAUUAUUAUUAUUAUUAUUAGUGGGAAUUAAACUGAAUAUUUGAUAUGAAUUAAUAUUUGAAUUGUUUGUUGAUUGAAAGUGGGAAGUGAAUUUAAAUCGAAUAGUGACUGAUAUUAAAUUGAAUGGAAAUGUAUUGAGUUGUGAAAAUGUGUGAAUUGCGGAUUAAUUAUUGAUUGAAAGGUGGAAAAAUGAUUGAAUUGAAAAUGUGAGAAAUUGUGAUUGAAUUGGGAUUAUAUGUGAUUUAAAUACCCUAUUAACUAGUCGGGCUGAGUCGGAUAUAGUUGGCAUGCCAUAGGAUUGGAAGAGUUCAGGGAUACUUCGACCUCGAGUCGAUGAGACACUGGGUGUCACUAUAUUUUUUCGGAUAGAUUCGAUGAGGUACUGGGUACCAACUUUCUUCAGCUUUGCCGAUGAGACACUGGGUGUCAACUAUUGCUUCGAACUAUCCGAUGAGGCACUGGGUGUCAUACUGGUGUGUUUGGUUGGAUCCGUGUAUCCGCCAAAGUCUGAUUUUUGUUAAUAGGGUAAUUAAUGAAAUGAUAAACCGAACGAGCUACUGAAAUGAAAUGAAAAAGUUGAAUUGUGAAUUGAAAUGUGAAAUGAGAUUGAGAAAUGAACCUAAAGUUCAUGAGAUGUUCAAAUUCAAAUUGUGGAUAUGUGAUAUUGAUUGAUGGAUUGCUAUUGUUGAGAUAUUGAAUUUAAAUUGUAUAUACGAUUUAUGCAUUACAUGUACAUUAUUGUUAUAAUUUGAAUUAUGGUAAUACCACUGAGUAUGAAUUACUUAGCGUACGGUUGUUUCCGUGCGCAGGUCGAUAGAAGUCAAAGGUCUCGGUUCAGCAUCCAGAUUAAUCCCGGCUUCAGCAUAACUUUGGUGAUGUAUAUUUUCUUUUGGUAAUGUGGCAUGUACAUAGGAAUUAUAAGUUUUAUAUAAAUGGUUAAAAAUGUUAGUAUUAUAAGUUUAUGAAUUAUAAUGAAAGAAGUUUAUCUAUUUUAAUCUAAUUAGUCAAUGGAUAAAUUUAAAUUGAUAUUAUGUUAAUUGAGUUUGAUUAGAAGUAUUUAGAAUAGAAAAUGUGAAUGUGAAAUGAAUUGGUUGAUUUGGUUAUAUUUGAAAAUGUUAUGGAUUUUAAUUGUAGGGGGUUGUAUGUAAAAAUAAGCAGAAGUGCUGCCGAAAUUUUUCGAAAAAAAAUGAAUGAAGUCUAUUAGCGAAAUUUAUAUGAAUUUAUUACUCUCUUAUAUAUGUUCGUUAAUUGUUUAUGAAUUAUUUGGAAUUUGUCUGAAAUGUCCGGUAAUGCCUCGUAACCCUAUUCUGGCAACAGUUCGGGGUUAGGGGGUGUUACAACAUCAUCCUAAUACCCAACGACUGAUAGUGUUGUUCCAUUUCCCACAAGAAGUUGUCCACUUCUCUAGUGGACCUUCCCCCUCAAACUUCUCUGGUUUGGGAACAUCCAUCUUCCGUUGAUUUGGUCUCGAAGCCAACAUCUUAUUGCUCAAAUUAGCCUUAUAGAUUGUGAGCUCCCCCUUAAGCUCCUCAAUUUUUUCUUUCAAGGUCAUCAUUGUGGCCUCAAGAGCAUCAUCCGUCACGGUCAACUUAUCCACAAUGGAACUAAGCAUCCAUUGCAUCACUUCCACAUUAGAACCGAGAGACUCCAAGAUAAAUUCCUUGAAUUUCUCCUUCAUCGAGUUUAACUCAUUGGUGCGUCGCUCAACUACCUUGAGUGUCUCCCCCAUAUCUCCAAUAGGCUCCUCAAGAUUGGUCACUUGAAUUGCCAAAGCCGACAGCAUUUCCCUCGAUCAAUUAGCUUUGCUAGAGCUCCCGUGGGUCUCCAUAGGCUUAAUUUGAUCUUCUACUCCUUUUGUCAUCUCAAGUGGCACUUUCAAAACCUUAGCUCUAAUACCAACUAUCACAGGGGUAGAACUUUAGUCUCACAAUCCGUGCGACCUUAGGCAAAUUCUUAGGUUCAAAUCCGCCUAAGUUAGUCUAACUCUUGCAAAGUGAAAAAUCUUGAUAGAAAUUCUCUAAGGUGCAAAAAAUAAAGUGAAAGUAAAUCAAAACAAAAGAACAAAAAAUGCCACAAGAAAGCAAAGUACAUCAAGUGUUUGAGUAAAUGUUCUCAAAGUAUUCUAUUACUCUGGAAAUAAUACAAAAAAUAGGAUAGGAUACAAUGGAAUAUUACAAAUGAGGGAGAAUGCCUCUAUUUAUACUUGAGCUCCCCAAGCCAACGAUAUAGAUUGAGUUACAUUAAUGAUUGAGAUUAAAUCCUAUCUACAAUUGAGAUUCUUAAAGGAUUGACUUAAUCUUUUAAGAUUAUAAAAUCAAGUCUUAUCAUGUUACAUAUCUUCUAAGAUUGGUUUCCUUAUUUGCCAAUAUAGCCCUAAUUUUCCAUAAAUGCUUCACUGGACUAUCAAUGCUUCAAGUAGACAGGCUUCUCCAUAUGCUCCACAAAUCGGGCCAGUUCAAAUGCGUCGAAUGAGCCAUGUUUCAUCAUUUGACCUCCAUGGGACAAUCCUUGGCAUUCAUCACGGGCUCUGAUCCGUGACCCAUGACAUAAGCACAUAAAUGUUUAGUAAGUUUAAUUGACAAGUAUUAUACUUAUCUUGCUAGGUGGACCUACAAAUUCAUUGCUCAACAAGCUUCAUAUUCUCGUAUUAGUUACUUAGCAUAAGAUAAGGAAAAUGUGUAGGUAACCAUGUUCAUUAAGUCUAUACAAGCAAAUUAUAACAUGUCCAAUAAGUGUUCAUUAUAUUCUAUUGAUCACAUGUGCACCUAUUUCCACUUUAUUACUACCUUUCAAUUCCAAUUUACGAGUUAAGAUAAUCAAGUUCAUACCUUUUUCAACCUUAAUUCUUUUCUUUAACCAUUUCUUGUCCAAUUUCAAUUUUGUAGCCCAUGUAAUCUUAGUAAAAUAGGACUCGGCUACUAUGAGAAAACCAAAAAUGCUAAGCCCAAAGGCCAUCACAUAUCAUAUCAUGUAGGCCUCCGAAGAGGUAUUGAAAGUCUAAUGGUCUAUAACAAAUGUUCUACCAAGGGUAAGCUAGAACUGGGUUUUCAGAAAACAAACCACAUACCUCUGAACCUCACACCACAACAAAUGUACUUAAGUGUAAGGCACAAAGGCAACAUAUAACAAAUAGGUUCAAAGGCGACAUACACAUAUAACUCUAAUUGACAUGUCAAUCGUAUCCUAACCUUUCUACCAAGUUUACAUAAGCUAUCAUUAACAUACUAAAGAAUUCACAUUUAAGUACCAUUAAGGCAAUUUUUCAUAUGUAUCGUCAUAUUUCCAUAAUGCCACACUUUAAUCACAAGAGUUAAGAUCUUCAAUUGAGGUUUUCAUACCACAUGAAUUUACGUGUUUGUUUAUUCACGUUAACAUGGUUACGUAUAUCAUAAUCAUACUAAAUCUUAACUUGACAUAGUCAAUUACCAUAUUUAACACGUUCUUUCAUAUUUAAUUCUUUGCAUAACAUAGUUCAGUAUAUAAACAUAUUAACUAGUAUAUUCCAUUAAGGUUCUGUUAAUAUACUCAUUAAUUAAUCGUCCAUUCAUGAUCUUAACAUGUUAUAUUCAUUAUGCAUCAAAUUAAAUGUUGUUGAGCUAUUUAACACCUAUAAACAUUGUACUAAAGACACAUAAUAAGCAAAUAUUGUAAGUUCAAGUGAACUUACCUAUUAAGAUCAUUUAAUGAUCAUCAAUUUAAAUUUUCAUUUCCUUAACUUAAGAUUCUACUCAAAAUACACACAACACAUACAAGCAUUGAAUUAAUAAUUUGAAUCUCCUUUGGUUAGUCUUACAAGCAUUGGAUUAAUUGAAUUCAACACUUGAUAGCCAUAUAGUGGCCAUUUUACUUGUUGAAAAUUCAAGAAUGCUUAACCUUUGAGCCUUAGACUUUUAUAUCCAAAAUUGAUAUAACUCGUAAUUUUCCUAUUCAAUUUUUGUUCCAACUUUAAAGUUAUAAUUUCAAGACCUCAAAUGAUCCAAAAACAUGUUUAAACUCCAAAGUUCUCAUAAUUAUCUCUAAGGCUUCUUAAGUACUCAACAAUGGUGGUAUGAACAUCCUUUAACCAAUUUUUAAUCCACCUUCUUUUCUAACUUACACUCUUCUAAGUUCAUCCCAACAUAAGCAUUGAACUAUCAUGAUCAAGCUUCAUCUCUUUCAGUUCCAAGCAUUCAUCUAUGAUUAUCUAAGGAUUUUUCUCAUCAAUUUUAACAUCGAAAAUGAAUGGGCUCAUGCUUAUCUAUUAUUUUAUGCUAUCAAUUAAACCAAAAUUCAAAGGAAACUUAUCAAUUUCUUGAAGAGCAACUCACGGCACCAUGAAACCUCCAUGAAAAUUUUCUUUUUCUUCUUUGUUCUUAAACCAUGGAGAAUGGAUGAGGAUGACCACAUAAUAAGCUUAUUCUCCCACCCACUAAGUAUAUAUAUACCUAAUUAAUCAAUUUAUUAACCUUUAAUAAUAAUCAUCCAAUGUUGGGAUUUAAGCAUGGCAAAUUGAGCGGAAAUGUAUGGCUUUUACCAUGCUUCUCCACUAAGUAAAUAAAUGAUGGUUUAUUUGUCAUUUUAAGGCAUUUGAUUAAUUUUUCAUCCAAUCCUCCAAACCUUGCUAGUGCAUAUUUAGAUCUUAUGCAUCAAUUACUAAUUUAUCAAUUUAAUCCCUUUAAUAAUUCUCGACAAUAUUUCAUAUCUACUUCAUUAACUUCUCGAUUAAUAAUAAAUUUUUGAAACGGCUUGAUCGAGAAAUCGAAUUAUUCCUAUCACAGCGAAAAAUAGAUCAUCAAACUAUUUUAAUUUGAUUUAUUAAUGUCUUUUCCAAAUUCGUAUUUAAUUAAUAAAUAUUCCACAAUAACCUUCAUUAAUUGAUAAUUUUUCCUUGUAUUAUAGGAGAUUUAUAAAUAUUCAUAUUGUAGCAUAAGUAAACUCAAUUUAAAGUGCACAAGGAAAUAGUCAAAUAUCUCAAACUUCAAGAGCCUUUAAUUAAGCCACAAUGUGUUCGCACACUCUAUUAACACUAGUGAAUUUCAUUAAUUAUAAUUUGAUCAUUAGAGUACUAGCUAAAAUUUUAUCCCAAGAUUCAAAUUGUCUUUCAAUAAAUCCUCGACAAUUUUGUGGUCUCUAACUCAAAAUUUUUUUACUUUUGUGAUAUUCGUAAAGAACAACUUCAGCAAGUAAUUCAUCUUUAUGAAUAGUCAUCACUAAUUAAAUCAUGCAUAUUAAAUUUGAUAUCAGAAAAGCUUACAAGUCGCAUCAUAAAUACAUAAUUGUGAUAUAUUUGAAUGGUUUUCCACCUCAGCAUAGGCUUAUUUUAGAGUAAAUUUGUAUGCAUUUUAGGGAAAAAUACCAAAAAAACCAAUUUUUUUUUAAAUUUACCGAAAUGGGCUCAGUAUUUUAUUAUUUACCGGAAUGGGCAUUUUCCCCGAAACCGCGUCCACGUCAGCACGAUGUCAAGGUACGUGCCAGGAAAUCGCGGCCACGUCAGCGCGCUUUGCUGACAUGGCAACAAAUCGCGUCCUCUAAAGCGCGAUUUGUGUCCACGUCAGCAAAACGCUCUGACGUGGACGCGAUUUCCUGGCACGUACCCUGACAUCGUGCUGAUGUGGAUGCAAUUUCGCCGUGUCUCCCACGUUAGGGUUUUUAGGGGUUUUAGGGCUUUUGGAGAAAAAAGUAAACAAAUAAGGGAUUAGGGUUAAGGGUUUCGUAAUUAAAUUAAUUAAAUUUUAUUCAAAAUUGGAUUACGUUUCGUGUUUAUGGGUUUUUAAGAUAAAAUCAAAGCAGGAUGAUUUAUCAGAAGGAUUUUUGAAGUCGCACCCACGUGUACGCGCUUUUGCUACAGUAGGUCUUGGGAAAAUAAUUUCGACUUGAUGUUUUUGAGCAAAUAGUUUAAAAAACAUUUCAAGCAGAAUGCUUUGUGAGAAGAAUUUGUGAAAUCGCGCCGUCGUGGACGCGCUUUUACUACAGUUGGUCCUAAAAGAAAUAAUUUCGAGUUGAUGUUUUUGAGCAAAUAGUUUAAAAAACGCUUCAAACAGGAUGCUUUAUAAUAAGAAUUUGUGAAGUCGUGCCCACGUGGAUGCGCUUUUGCUACAGUAGGUCCUAAAAAAAUAAUUUUGAGUUAACGUUUCUGAGCAAAUAAUAUAAAACAACGCUGCAAGUAGCAUGCUAUUUGAGAAGAAUUUGUGAAAUUGUGCCCUCGUGAACGUGCUUUUGCUACAGUUGGUCCUGGAAAAAUAAUUUUGACUUGACGUUUCUGAGCAAAUAGUAUAAAAUCGAUUCUAGAAGGAUGCUUUAUGAGAAGAAUUUGUGAAAUCACGCCCACGUGGACGCGCUUUUGCUACAGUAACAUGUUUGGGCUGAGGCUAUAAAUGAGGCAAAAAAUGUUCUGAGAUUGCAUAAGUCACAGCAAAAACAAUUUAGAGAGGCUAAGAAGGUUAGAGUUUCAAAUAUGAGUGAACGUAUUAGUGCUGUUAUUUACUACAGUGGUGAGGUUUGCCACACUGAGAAUGGUGUUGUUUUUUUGUCGAAGAAUACGGUGCGACUGGUUUUUAACCAAAACAUAGAUUUGACAGAACUUCGUAAAAGAAUUAGGCGUAAAAUUUUCGAAACGACGCCAAUGAAAGUUCUGUCUAUUACAUAUCGAUUUUGUUCCUCUGUUGAUCCGGUGACAUAUGACUCGUUCGACAUAAAAGGUGAUCGUAGCUUGGAGGCAAUUGUGCAGACUCAUCUUGCUAGUCGAGCACAUUAUAUUGAGUUAUAUGUACAAUUUACAUUGCCAAAUGAUGUACUUGCGACCAGUGUUCGAGAUGUAUACACGACCCCUGGCCAACAUUCGGUUAGCGGGUUAGAAAACACGAAACAGCCCAUGUUUGGUAGUGGUGUUGAAUGCACAUCCCCCGCAGGACCUCUGUCGGUGGAUGGGACAUGUACGUCGGUGGUUCGAUGUUUGAUGCUGGAAAUACGUACUGGGGAACGUCAUCAAGUUCUAGUGAUUAACAAUCUACAUCCAAUUGGGGACGUUAUGAAAUGCCCAGAAAAAAGGAUGAUGUACUCCCUACGACGUCAAUUGGUGAGGGGACCUCAUACGCUGCAGAUGAUUAUGGGUUAGAAGAUGACUCCGAUGUGGAUCUACCUCGAGAGCUCGGGCCUGAUGGUGUAGAAGUUGGCUUAUUUUCUGAACCGGAGUCUAUUCCAACAAAACUUGAAGAUGCUGAAAGGAGUUCAGAUGAAGAAGAAAAUCCACGAUUCAGAGCAUACUCACCUUCAGCCCACAUGCAUAAUGUCGAUCUGUCUGCAGAUGAUACAUUAGAGUUUCCAGAUCUACCACACUGGUUGCGUGAUCGUACCAGUUCAGGGCUAGAUUCAGGUGAAUUUUAAGUUGGUAAUCAGUUUACCAACAAGGAUAGUUUUAUUGGUGUUUUGAAACAACAUAGCAUCAAAAAAUGCGUUAACUACCACGUCGUUAAAUCCAAAUCUGAUAAGUUUGAAGCGAAAUGUACGGUGCAAUAUGGCACAUGUUCAUGGAAAAUCUACGCUUCGUUAAGGAAAAAGACAGGGUUGUGGGAGAUUAAAAAGUACAAAGGUCCACAUACAUGUGCUGCAGGUACAAUAUUGACGGUAUCUGAAUAAUACUUUUAUUAUGUAAUGUUGCAUUAUUUAAUGUAAUCCGUUUAUAGGUGUUUCACAAAAUCAUCCGAAGAUGGAUUCAGCUAUGUUAGCUAGCUUGAUACUGCCCACGGUAAAAGCAGAUUCCAGGAUUUUAGUACCGGUGUUAAUUGCCAAUAUUCGUAGCCAAAUGGGGUACACGCCCUCUUACCGUAAGGCUUGGAUAGCUAAGAAAAAGGCGUUGAAGAAGAUGCAUAGUUGGUGAGACGCCUCAUAUACUGAAAUAUGACAGUGGUGUCAAGUGCUAGAGAGAUACGUCCAAGGUGCCUCACAGACCUUGAAACGGAACAUGCGUACUACAACGGCCAAUUGCUACGUGGAUGCCAAGUGUUCAAACGUCUGUUUUGGACCUUUAAGUAAUGCCAAGACGCAUUUCCAAGCUGCAAGACAUUGGUACAAAUUGACAGUACCUUUAUGUUUGGUAGGUAUACUCAUCGGCUAUUGCUUGCAGUGGUACAGGAUAGCGGUGGGAGAAUUCUUCCAAUUGCAUUUGCAAUAACACCGGGGGAGUCGUCUGAUGACUAGGAUUUCUUUCUCUCUAGGUUAAGGAGGCAUGUGUGCCUCCAACCUGAUAUCUGUGUUAUUUCAGAUCGGGGCACCGGUAUACUAGUUGCAUUUGAUCGACAGGGAAGCUUAUGGCAGUGCACACACCAUCGAUAUUGCGUAAGACACGUUGCUUCCAACUACUACAGGCAAUACCCAUCUAAGAGCGAACGACGACAAGUGACCAACAUGGGUAUUUAGUCUAUAUCUGUGUUAUUUCGUUUCUCAAUUUGAAUUAGUUUUAUUAGUAGAAGUUGUAUGUAAUAUUCGCUAUGAACUUAUAUUGGCAGGGUAUGAAAUAAAUAAAUAUCGUUUCCACGAGAUGUUGGCAACUUUACGUUCAAUUAACGGAGAAGGGGCAGACUACCUUUGUAACAUACGUUUCGAACAGUAGGCACAAGCAUACGACGGCGGCCUACGAUAUGGCCAUAUGACGUCAAACCUGGCUGAAUGCAUAAAUUCUAUUCUUAAAGGAACAUAUUUUCGUUCAGCGACGCUAUUUCCAAAGCGAGCAGCAAGUUAUGCAGGCCAGAUGCAGGGAGGACAUGUAUGGUGCAGUAAGGUAGUUUAAGAAAUUAACAAGGCCAAGGCGCAGGCAAACACCAUGCACACAGUGUGUCACGAUCGAGACAACUUAUGGUUUCACGUGACAGAGUUUGACAGACCGCACCAAGGUGUUGUUGGCGGACAAUAUCGUGUACACUUGCGAAAUAGGACUUACAACUGUGGGAUGUUUGAUGCACUUCGUUAUCCAUGCGCUCAUGUUAUUGCAGCUUGUCAGAAUCUCCGUCUAGAUCCGAUAAAUUGUGUGGACGAAGUGUACAAAUUAGAAAACAUGUACAACGUCUGGAGACUCGUUUUUCCACUGGUCCCAGAUGAACGUAAGUGGCCCCCCGUAUCUCUUUCUCAUUUUAAGCUGUUACCGGAUAGAGAAUUACGUCGUAAACCAGAGGGUCGACCUUGCUCGACUAGAAUACAUAACAAUAUGGAUAUCCGAGAAACAGUCAAUCAACAUAAGUUGUGCAGAUGGUGUAGGAAUCCAGGCCAUACAAGUCGAUCAUGCCCUAAUCGCAAUAGUUGAAUGUAAUUUUUUUAAAAAAAAUUAUAUUUUUUCAAUUAUUAACUGAUAAUUGUAUUAAUUGUUAGUAAAAUUAUCAAAUUAUAUCAAAUAAUUAAUUGUUAGUAUCAGUCAAAACAUUUUUUCAAAUCUAACAUUAUGUGAAUAUAAAAUUAUUAACUGAUAAUUGUAUUAAUAUUAGUAAAAUUAUCAAAUUAUAUUUAAGUUAAGGGUUAGGGUUUUUAAGUUAAGGGUUAAGGGUUAAGGAUUUUAAAGUUAAGGGUCUAGGGUUUUAAAGUUAAGGGUUUAGGGUUUUUAGGUUAAGGGUUAGGGUUUUUAGGUUUAGGGUUUAUGGUUUUUAAUUUAAGGGUUAUGGUUUUUAAGUUAAAGGUCUAGGGUUUUAAAGUUAAGGGUCUAUGGUUUUAAAGUUAAGGGUUAGGGUUUUUAGGUUAAGGGUUUAGGGUUUUUAAGUUAAGGGUUAGGGUUUUUAAGUUAAGGGUUUAUGGUUUUAAAGUUAAGGGUCUAUGGUUUUAAAGUUAAGGUUUAAGGUUUUUAGGUUAAGGGUUAUGGUUUUUAGGUUAAGGUUUAGGGUUUUUAAUUUAAGGGUUAGGGUUUUUAAGUUAAAGUUUAGGGUUUUCAGGUUAAGGGUUAGGGUUUUUAGGUUAAGGUUUAGGGUUUAGGGUUUUUAAUUUAAUGAUUAUGAUUUUUAAGUUAAGCGUUUAGGGUUUUUAAGUUAAGGGUCUAAGGUUUUAAAGUUAAGGUUUAGGGUUUUCAGGUUAAGGGUUAGGGUUUUUAGGUUAAAUGUUUAGGGUUUUAAUUUAAGGGUUAAGGUUUUUAAGUUAAGGGUUUAGGGUUUUUAAGUUAAGGGUCUAUGGUUUUAAAGUUAAGGUUUAUGGUUUUUAGGUUAAGGGUUAGGGUUUUUAGGUUAAGGGUUUAAGGUUUUUAAGUUAAGGGUUUAGGGUUUAAAAGUUAAGGUUUAGGGUUUUUGGGUUAAGAGUUAGGGUUUUAGGUUAAGGGUUUAGGGUUUUUAAUUUAAGGGUUAGGGUUUUUAAGUUAAGGGUUUAUGGUUUCUAAGUUAAGGGUCUAUGGUUUAAAAGUUAAAGUUUAGGGUUUUUAGGUUAAGGGUUAGGGUUUUAUGUUAAAGAUUUAGGGUUUUAAAUUUAAGGAUUAGUGUUUUUAAGUUAAGGGUUUAGGGUUUUAAGUUAAGGGUCUAAGGUUUUAAACUUAAGGGUUAUGGUUUUUAGGUUUAGGGGUUAUGGUUUUUAAUUUAAGGGUUUAUGGUUUUUAAUUUAAGGGUUUAGGGUUUUUAAUUUAAAAGUUUAGGGUUUUUUAAGUUAAGGGUUUAAGGUUUUAAGGUUAAGGGUUAAGGUUUUUAGGUUAAGGGGUUAGGGUUUUAAAGUUAAUGGUUAGGGUUUUUAGGUUAAUGGUUUAGGGUUUUAAAGUUAAAGGUUAAUGAGUUAGGGUUUUUUGGUUAAGGGUUUAAGGUUUGUUAAUUAAAUUAUGCAUUUAAUUAUAAAUUAUAAAUUUAUAAAUUUUUAAUAAGUUAAGCGUUUAGGGUUUUUAAGUAGUAACUCAAAAAAAUUUCUAUUUUUAUUACAUCAAAAAAUAUCAAAAUAUUCAAAAUAUUUGUACAAAUAAAUUUAAAUACAAAAAUCAAUGUCUAUGCCCGCGGGAUUCAGUGCCACAUGGCAGCCGUCGACAGUUACGCGCUGGAUUCCUCCUUGUCCAGCUUUUGGCGGCGAUUAUAGUUCUUCCGGCGGCGGUUGUGGUUCUUCCGGCGGGGAUUCUGGUUCUUCCAGUAGGGCAUCUGGUUGUCGGAGUUGUGACGAUGAGCCACCUUGAUAGAAUUGUGAAUGUGGAGGUGUUUGCAUCACCAACGGCAACGGUGUUUGAAACCCAUACGGUGGUGGGGAUUGGUAAAAAGAAGAGCUCCCCGACGGCCCCUCUUGCGAUCCCUCGUGCGUCGCUGGCCUAUACAUCGGCGGUCGACUCGGCGUAACAGAAAUAGAGCUGAACCGGGCCAUUGGCUCCAACCUGCCAUAGGACUCGAAAAAGGAAACAUAUAAGGGUUAGGAUACAUAAAAGGGCUAGGAAACGCACCUGGCAUCAUCUGAAAAGGCGGUUGCGUGGGUAUCAUUGGUUGAACUGCUGGGUCGGGUGAAUGUCUGGGAGUCGUUGAAGGGCCAGCGUCGUCGUCCUGUCGUCUUGGAUUUAAAGGAUCGCGUCUUUCCCUUUGGACACGUAAUUGCCGCUGCCUCUCCUCUAGCGAUAGUAAAUACGGCUUGCCAUGGAUCCUAAACCAUGGCAUGCAUUCCGGCAUGCACGCUAACUCCGGAACGAUGAUCGGUUCCAUACUAGGUAUAUAGUCAUACCGAUCUUCCCACAUUUGGAUGUACUUGAACCAGAAUCUCGGCCAAUCCGUAUUCAAUUACCGAAGGUCGAUUUUGUGGUGAUCGUCAAACAUCUCAAGUUCCAUGGAAAUCGGUUGUCUACAUCCAAAUUGCCAUAACACCCUGUCUGACUGGUGCAUCUCCACGGUCGCGUAGUUGAUCAACGCGACUUUCGCCUGCCAAGCGUUUGGAUUUUGUAAGAACUCUUUCGGAAUUACUGCCCAAAUUGCCGGAUCCUCAUAUGGUGUCCAUUGAAACUAUAUGAAAAUGAUAGAAAUAUUAAUUAUAUACAUAAUACUAAAUACUAAAUACCAAUCGACUAGCGAAUGAUGGAAAUAUCAAUUUUAUUUAAUACUUACAUGUGCUUCCGACUAUUGGUCUAAUAGAAGCCGUAUAUCUUCAAGAGAGGUAGGUAAUCGAGCAUGACUUGCCGGAUGGUUCCACCUAAUUAAAUAAAUUUUUAGCAUACUUUUAUUUUUAAAAAUCUACAUAAUAAUUGUAAAAUCUAAUAUAAAAUUUACCUCGUUAUCAGUGGGAAUGUAUAUGGGUGGUCCACUCGAGGAUGUAGAAAUGAAAAGCGAAACCGUGCCCAUGAUUGCAGUAGGGACAGGCAACCUCCGAUUUUUGCUUUCCUCGGUCGCAUCGCCCCGUACAUCUCCUUAUAUAACGUUGUCAAGACGGCAGACCCCCAACUUAAUUCACCAGCUGCUCUAAAAUCAACGAGUUGCAGCAGCCAUCUUAGAUGUACGCGGCUCCGUGACAAGUCAGGCAUCAGAUAACCUCCAAUUAACUGAAGAAUGCAUGCCCGAGCAUAUCGGAUUCUUUCUAUUUCGGUUGAAUCUUCAUCCGGAUCCGGGAAUGUGUCUCGAAACCAGCCCAUCUCGAUCUUACCUCCCUCCAUUUUCUCCAGAAUAGCGCCCAAAAGCUCGUAGCACACCGCAAGCCAAUCGCUAGAUUGGGUAGACCCGGUGACUGGGUACCCGUCCACCGGCAAUCCCAAUUGUAGACUGACAUCUUCCAAAGUGAUAGUGCACUCUCUACAUCUUAAAUAAUAUUUAAAAAUUAAAUUUAACGCUUACCAUUUUCAUUUGUUCCACCGAUAUGUGAUGCUUAUCAAGACGAGUCAAUUCUUCGGCCAUUGCUGAAAUCGUACAAAUUUUUAAUGUUUAAAAAAAUUUUAAAAAAGUAAAAUUAUUUAAAAAAAGAGAUUUAAAAGAAAUUUAAGAGGAACUUGGGAGUAAAUUGAAAAUAAAUAUGAAUUUGAGAGAAAUUUUAAAGGAAUUUGAAAGCAAAAGAGUGGGGGUAUUUAUAGUUUUUUUUUUACCGUUCGGGGGGGCAAUGGUCAAUUUUUUGACCGUUGCACUGUUCACGUACGGGGCAAAUCGCAACCACGUCAGCGCGAUUUGCUGACGUGGACACAAAUCGCAUCCUCUGAAGCAGAAUUUGUUGCCACGUCAACGCGCUAUUUGCUGGCACAUACCCUGACAUCGCGCUGACGUGGACGCAAUUUCGAGAAAAAAUGGCCAUUUCGGUAAAUAAUAAAAUACCGGGCCCAUUUCGAUAAAUUUAAAAAAAAAUAGACUUUUUUUAGUAAAUUGCCCUACGUUUUAGUCUUGUUACAAUAUCCAAGUCUAAUGCCAAUAUUGAAGUAUACCGUAAUAGUAAUUAUUCUCUCUAUCUAGUACUCGAAACUGGUUUUAAAUAUCUUCCAUUCACUCGACAAAUAGUUAUGGUCUAAAUAAAUUUCUGGAAUUCAUGGCUGCCUACUUGCGAGAGGAUUAAUGAAAUAUGCGAUGCAAGUUGAUGAAAUCUUAUUAUUUGUAAUAUAAAAAACAAAACCCAUGCAUCCUUAAUAACAUAAAAAAAACACAUUCCAUAAUCAACAUCUGAGAAUUUAAAACUUAAUUGUAAUGUUGGCUGAACAAGACUCAAAAAGGGGAGAAAAGAAAAAUAAGUCCGAACCUGAAAAAAGUGACCGUAUAAAAAACCCUGACAGGCAGAACAGUAGCAAGCAACAUAAAACCAAGACAUAUUAUCACUUAAAGCACUUGGCAUCCAAGAGAGGCUCUCCCUCAAAUGGCUCGCAGUCUUCAAUCAUCUGAUUCACCCGUUCCUUCUGGGCUGCAUCUGACAGGUCAACCUUCUUCCACUCGUAGAGUUCCAUGUCAUAGCACUCGUCAAUCACAAAUUGAGGAAUCUCUUGCCCACGGAAAAGCCAUAGUCCUUUCACCUUGAAUGGAGGGUUAGCACCGAUCACCAACAUCUUCCCAAAUGCAUACUUGCGGGCCAAAUCCAUUCUCUGCAG
rnacentral:lncRNA from 1 species